rnacentral:rRNA from 1 species
UACGUAGGGUGCAAGCGUUGUCCGGAAUUAUUGGGCGUAAAGAGCUCGUAGGCGGUUUGUCGCGUCGAAUGUGAAAACCCGGGGCUCAACCCCGGGCCUGCAUUCGAUACGGGCAGACUAGAGUUCGGUAGGGGAGUCUGGAAUUCCUGGUGUAGCGGUGAAAUGCGCAGAUAUCAGGAGGAACACCAAUGGCGAAGGCAGCUUACUGGGCCAUUACUGACACUGAGAUGCGAAAGUGUGGGGAGCAAACGGG